AGCCACAGACUUGCCACCCUGAAUAAGCCUGAUCCCAUCUAAUCUCGAAAGCUAAGCAGGGUUGGGCCUGGUUAGUUCUUGGAUGGGAGACCACCUAGGAAGACCAGGUGCUGUAGGCA
rnacentral:rRNA from 1 species